rnacentral:rRNA from 1 species
UUGAACGCUGGCGGAAUGCUUUACACAUGCAAGUCGAGCGGCAGCACGGGGGCAACCCUGGUGGCGAGCGGCGAACGGGUGAGUAACACAUCGGAACAUGCCCAGUCGUGGGGGAUAACACUUCGAAAGAAGUGCUAAUACCGCAUACGUCCUGAGGGAGAAAGCGGGGGAUCGCAAGACCUCGCGCGAUUGGAGUGGCCGAUGUCAGAUUAGCUAGUUGGUGGGGUAAAGGCCUACCAAGGCAACGAUCUGUAGCUGGUCUGAGAGGAUGAUCAGCCACACUGGGACUGAGACACGGCCCAGACUCCUACGGGAGGCAGCAGUGGGGAAUUUUGGACAAAGGGGGCAACCCUGAUCCAGCCAUUCCGCGUGAGUGAAGAAGGCCUUCGGGUUGUAAAGCUCUUUCGGCAGGAACGAAACGGUGAGCUCUAACAUAGCUUGCUAAUGACGGUACCUGAAAAAGAAGCACCGGCUAACUACGUG